CCCGGCCGGCCGACCGGCGCGACGGGUGACGUAACACGUAUCGCAACCGUCGGCCCGCCACAGGGGGAUAACCCGCGGAAACGCGGCCUAAUACCCCGUGACGCCACCGGAGGGCAUCCUCCGGUGGCCAAAGGAGCGAUCCGGUGGCGGAUGGGCAUGCGGCGCAUUAGCUAGACGGCGGGGUGACGGCCCACCGUGGCGACGAUGCGUAGGGGUUCUGAGAGGAAGGCCCCCCACACUGGGACUGAGACACGGCCCAGACUCCUACGGAAGGCAGCAG
rnacentral:rRNA from 1 species